CCUCUCGGGUUACCGAAUUCAGACAAACUCCGAAUGCCAAUUAAUUUAACUUGGGAGUCAGAACAUGGGUGAUAAGGUCCGUGUUCGAAAGGGAAACAGCCCAGACCACCAGCUAAGGUCCCAAAAUAUAUGUUAAGUGGAAAAGGAUGUGGCGUUGCCCAGACAACUAGGAUGUUGGCUUAGAAGCAGCCAUCAUUUAAAGAGUGCGUAAUAGCUCACUAGUCGAGUGACACUGCGCCGAAAAUGUACCGGGGCUAAACGUAUCACCGAAGCUGCGGACUGUUCUUCGAACAGUGGUAGGAGAGCGUUCUAAGGGCUGUGAAGCCAGACCGGAAGGACUGGUGGAGCGCUUAGAAGUGAGAAUGCCGGUAUGAGUAGCGAAAGAGGGGUGAGAAUCCCCUCCACCGAAUGCCUAAGGUUUCCUGAGGAAGGCUCGUCCGCUCAGGGUUAGUCGGGACCUAAGCCGAGGCCGAAAGGCGUAGGCGAUGGAUAACAGGUUGAUAUUCCUGUACCACCUAUAAUCGUUUUAAUCGAUGGGGGGACGCAGUAGGAUAGGCGAAGCGUGCGAUUGGAUUGCACGUCUAAGCAGUAAGGCUGAGUAUUAGGCAAAUCCGGUACUCGUUAAGGCUGAGCUGUGAUGGGGAGAAGACAUUGUGUCUUCGAGUCGUUGAUUUCACACUGCCGAGAAAAGCCUCUAGAUAGAAAAUAGGUGCCCGUACCGCAAACCGACACAGGUAGUC
rnacentral:rRNA from 1 species